AAGAACUUAGGAAUAAUGCCAGACCAAGAGCCUUCAAAGCUUUAAGUAGAAGUGAAAAUCUUCUAGUUCUUG
rnacentral:tRNA from 1 species